rnacentral:rRNA from 1 species
UACGAAGGGGGCUAGCGUUGCUCGGAAUUACUGGGCGUAAAGGGUGCGUAGGCGGUUGGGUAAGUCUGACGUGAAAUCUCCGGGCCUAACCCGGAAACUGCGUUGGAUACUAUCCGGCUAGAGGAAUGGAGGGGAGACUGGAAUACUUGGUGUAGCAGUGAAAUGCGUAGAUAUCAAGUGGAACACCAGUGGCGAAGGCGAGUCUCUGGACAUUUCCUGACGCUGAGGCACGAAAGCCAGGGGAGCAAACGGG